GACAGAGGGUGCAAGCGUUAAUCGGAAUUACUGGGCGUAAAGCGUGCGCAGGCGGUUAUGUAAGACAGGUGUGAAAUCCCCGGGCUUAACCUGGGAACUGCAUUUGUGACUGCAUAGCUAGAGUACGGUAGAGGGGGAUGGAAUUCCGCGUGUAGCAGUGAAAUGCGUAGAUAUGCGGAGGAACACCGAUGGCGAAGGCAAUCCCCUGGGCCUGUACUGACGCUCAUGCACGAAAGCGUGGGGAGCAAACAGG
rnacentral:rRNA from 1 species